GAUGAAGAACGCAGCGAAAUGCGAUACGUAAUGUGAAUUGCAAAUUCAGUGAAUCAUCGAGUCUUUGAACGCACAUUGCGCCCCCUGGUAUUCCGGGGGGCAUGCCUGUCCGAGCGUCAUUAUCCUCCCUCAAACCCCGGGUUUGGUGUUGGACCCAAGUUGUGUGAACAACUGGUCUUAAAGACAAUGACGGCGUCCGUGGGACCCUCGGUGCAACGAGCUUUUAGGAGCACGCAUCGAGUUGCAAGGACCUUCCGGGCCGGUCUCCUUUACUAUUUUACAAGGUUGACCUCGGAUCAGGUAGGAAUACCCGCUGAACUUAAGCAUAUCAAUAAGCGGAGGA
rnacentral:misc_RNA from 1 species